GUGUGAGGUGUGAGUUCUAGGAUUUCAACUCUAGAUUUUGUGAGAAAAAAAUACAAGAGUGAGUCUUGUUCAAUCUUCCACACUAUCACCUCCUCAUAAAGCUUCAUUUUCUGAUCUAAAAAAAUUUGAGAGAUCCAAAAAAAGGAGCUUGGAUCAGCCAUCUAGAGCCUUCGACGUGAGCUAGCACUCCCACGAAAAAAAAAAUCCAAUUAGGACUUCGAGUGGACGAUCUCUGUGGCUGCUCGGCAUCAAUGAAAGCUUCAUACCAUGCCUACUA
rnacentral:lncRNA from 1 species